AUGUUCAUCAGUACAGAUCACACGUACCUGAACGAUCCAGGUGAACAUGUUCAUCAGUACAGAUUACAUGUACCUGAACGAUCCAGGUGAACAUAUUCAUCAGUACAGAUCAAAUGCGUACCUGAACGAUCCAGGUGAACAUGUUCAUCAGUACAGAUCACACGUACCUGAACGAUCCAGGUGAACAUGUUUAUACCUGAUACAUAUAUGUUAAAAUGAGUUGACAUCAAUUCC